UAACAUGCCCAGCAUUACUCAGCUAAGUA
rnacentral:piRNA from 1 species